rnacentral:rRNA from 1 species
UACGUAGGGUGCAAGCGUUGUCCGGAAUUAUUGGGCGUAAAGAGCUCGUAGGCGGUCUGUCGCGUCUGCUGUGAAAACUCAGGGCUUAACCCUGAGCUUGCAGUGGGUACGGGCAGACUAGAGUGCGGUAGGGGAGACUGGAAUUCCUGGUGUAGCGGUGAAAUGCGCAGAUAUCAGGAGGAACACCGGUGGCGAAGGCGGGUCUCUGGGCCGUAACUGACGCUGAGGAGCGAAAGCAUGGGGAGCGAACAGGAUUAGAUACCCUGGUAGUCCAUGCCGUAAACGUUGGGCGCUAGGUGUGGGGCUCUUUCCACGAGUUCCGUGCCGCAGCUAACGCAUUAAGCGCCCCGCCUGGGGAGUACGGCCGCAAGGCUAAAACUCAAAGGAAUUGACGGGGGCCCGCACAAGCGGCGGAGCAUGCGGAUUAAUUCGAUGCAACGCGAAGAACCUUACCAAGGCUUGACAUGGGGUGAAAACUCGCAGAGAUGCGGGGUCCGCAAGGGCGCCUCACAGGUGGUGCAUGGUUGUCGUCAGCUCGUGUCGUGAGAUGUUGGGUUAAGUCCCGCAACGAGCGCAACCCUCGUUCUAUGUUGCCAGCACGUAAUGGUGGGGACUCAUAGGAGACUGCCGGGGUCAACUCGGAGGAAGGUGGGGACGACGUCAAAUCAUCAUGCCCCUUAUGUCUUGGGCUUCACGCAUGCUACAAUGGCCAGUACAAAGGGCUGCGAGACCGUAAGGUGGAGCGAAUCCCAAAAAGCUGGUCUCAGUUCGGAUUGGGGUCUGCAACUCGACCCCAUGAAGUCGGAGUCGCUAGUAAUCGCAGAUCAGCAACGCUGCGGUGAAUACGUUCCCGGGCCU